rnacentral:rRNA from 1 species
AUUGAACGCUGGCGGCAGGCCUAACACAUGCAAGUCGAACGAGUGGCGGACGGGUGAGUAAUGUCUGGGACACUGCGUGAGGGAGGGGGAAAACUUCUGGAAACUGUAGCUAAUACCGCAUACCAUCAGAAGUGCCUAUAUGGGUAUAGCUUGUGGGUGGGGUAACGGCUCACCAAGGCGACGAUCCCUAGCUGGUCUGAGAGGAGGACCAGCCACACUGGAACUGAGACACGGUCCAGACUCCUACGGGAGGCAGCAGUGGGGAAUAUUGCACAAUGGGCGCAAGCCUGAUGCAGCCAUGCCGCGUGUAUGAAGAAGGCCUUCGGGUUGUAAAGUACUUUCAGCGGGGAGGCGUUACCCGCAGAAGAAGCACCGGCUAACUCCGUGCCAGCAGCCGCGGUAAUAC